AGUUUGAUCCUGGCUCAGGAUGAACGCUGGCGGCGUGCUUAACACAUGCAAGUCGAACGAUGAAGCCCAGCUUGCUGGGUGGAUUAGUGGCGAACGGGUGAGUAACACGUGAGUAACCUGCCCUUGACUCUGGGAUAAGCCUGGGAAACUGGGUCUAAUACUGGAUAUGACUUCUCACCGCAUGGUGGGGGGUGGAAAGAUUUAUUGGUCUUGGAUGGACUCGCGGCCUAUCAGCUUGUUGGUGAGGUAAUGGCUCACCAAGGCGACGACGGGUAGCCGGCCUGAGAGGGUGACCGGCCACACUGGGACUGAGACACGGCCCAGACUCCUACGGGAGGCAGCAGUGGGGAAUAUUGCACAAUGGGCGCAAGCCUGAUGCAGCGACGCCGCGUGAGGGAUGACGGCCUUCGGGUUGUAAACCUCUUUCAGUAGGGAAGAAGCGAAAGUGACGGUACCUGCAGAAGAAGCGCCGGCUAACUACGUGCCAGCAGCCGCGGUAAUACGUGGGGCGCGAGCGUUAUCCGGAAUUAUUGGGCGUAAAGAGCUCGUAGGCGGUUUGUCGCGUCUGCCGUGAAAGUCCGGGGCUUAACCCCGGAUCUGCGGUGGGUACGGGCAGACUAGAGUGCAGUAGGGGAGACUGGAAUUCCUGGUGUAGCGGUGAAAUGCGCAGAUAUCAGGAGGAACACCGAUGGCGAAGGCAGGUCUCUGGGCUGUAACUGACGCUGAGGAGCGAAAGCAUGGGGAGCGAACAGGAUUAGAUACCCUGGUAGUCCAAUCC
rnacentral:rRNA from 1 species